rnacentral:rRNA from 1 species
CCUAAAGGCGUAAUGAAAGUAAAGGUCGUCUUUACGUCGACCGAGGGAGGAUGAGUUAUGUUAUGAUAUAGCUCCGCACUCCCGGGGCGUCUCAUUCUUAUUAUAAGAAGAGGCGCACUUAGAGCGUACACGUUGGGACCCGAAAGAUGGUGAACUAUGCCUGGUCAGGACGAAGUCAGGGGAAACCCUGAUGGAGGUCCGUAGCGAUUCUGACGUGCAAAUCGAUCGUCGGAACUGGGUAUAGGGGCGAAAGACUAAUCGAACCAUCUAGUAGCUGGUUCCCUCCGAAGUUUCCCUCAGGAUAGCUGGCACUCGUGUAUUAAUGAAAAUUAUAAUUACGAGUCUCAUCUGGUAAAGCGAAUGAUUAGAGGCCUUGGGGCCGAAACGACCUCAACCUAUUCUCAAACUUUAAAUGGGUGAGAUCUCUGGCUUGCUUGAAUAUAUGAAGCCAUGAGAUUUAAUGGAUCAGAGUGCCAAGUGG